rnacentral:sRNA from 1 species
GAUUAAAUCAAGGACAGGUCGAGUUGGCAGCUCUCGAUCAUGGCAGAUGGUGAUGGCGUGAGCAGUUGCAUACUCCUUUGGAUUCUGUAUGGACUUCCCUGGAAGUCCUGUGACUUUAGGUACAGAGGUAGAUGCUGAUUGUCCUUCCAAAUAUCUGACUUUGGUAUUCAAUGCCUCCACUUUGGCAUUCAGGUCAUUGUAGUUGCAGUCUAGCUUAUGGUGCAAUUCGGAUAAUUUCUUAGGAAUUUCCAUUGAGCUUGAUGCUUGUCCCUGUAGCAGCUGUUGUACCAUCUGUUUCAUUUCAGCAUCAGGAGCAGUAGGACCUUGGUUUUCCUGAGGUGCAAACCCAUGUGGUGGUUGUGGCUGGUAGUUCCCCUGGAAUUGCUGCUUGGGAACGAAACCUUGGUUGUAGAGAACAAAAGGUUUGUUCUGACCUUGUUGUUGCUGUGGAGGAUACACAUGAUCCUGAGGAUUAGCAACGUUGGUGCUGCGGUAGGAGAGGUUGGGGUUAUUGGUUUUGAAGUUGUUGUAUCCUUUGUAGCCACCCUGGUUGUUGUUGAUGUAGCUGACUUCUUCCAACUGGUUACCCUCCCCAUCUUGGACUUGAAAUUGCUCGUCAUCAACAAGGAAGUGCACAUGCUUCUGCUGGCUAAGAAGAAUCCUGUCGAGCUUGUCAUUCAUCGCCUUGAUCUCCUUCCUGUGUUUGUCAUCAGAGUCAGCGGUUCCUCUAACGGUCCUAUCGUAGUCCUCGUUGUAAUUGCCAUCUGAUUGAGCAAGGUUCUCAACCAAUUCCUAGCCUUCUUCAACAUCUUUGUUUUGGAAAUUUCCACUGCAGGCGGUAUCCAGAAGCAUUAUGAUGUGUGGUAGGACUCCUCUGUAAGAGUGUUGUUCAGAGAGGCUUUAGUAAAGCCAUGAUGAGGGCAUUGGUUGGUGUAACCCUUGAAACGCUCCCAUGCUUCACAGAAGCUUUCACCAGCCUUCUGUAAAAAGCCAGACAUCUCAUUUCUGAGUCUUGCAGUUCUGGCAUUGGAGAAGAACUUUGAUAGAAAAGCCUUCUUGCAAUCAUCCAGGUGGUGAUUGAGUCAUGGGACAGAUUCUUCUCCCAGAUGUGUGCUUUGUCGCCCAAGGAGAAUGGAAACAAACGGAGCUUGAAUCCGUCUUCACUAACACCAUUGAUCUUUGUUAGGUUGCAGAGCCUAUCGAAUUCAUCAAGGUGGUCGAGUGGAUCCUCCAUUGGCAGACCAUGGAAUUUGUUCCCCUGAAUUAUCGAGAUGAGACCACUCUUAAUCUCAAAGUUGUUGUUCUGGAUAGCAGGAGGUGCAAUUCCUUUCCUCUGACGGUGAUCACGUGGUGCAUCUCCAGCACCAACGUUGGUAGGGCCAUUUUGUUGAUUUUGUUCGUCAGCCAUUUCGAGUGGUUGCUGAGGUACAAGGUUGACUGUGUUUCUCCUUUCUCUGAGUUCGCGAGCUAUUCGGUCGAUGUUCUCGUUGAAAAGGAGGUUCUGAUUGCCUGUUGAUCGAGUUGGCAUACAGUAGAGGUGUACCUGGAUCAAGAAGACAACAAGAAAAACACACAGUUAGUAACUGAAAAGAAAAUUGAAAAAGAACUUGAUCUAAGCAAGUCUGAAAUCUCAAAUGUAACAAACAAACACCCAAUUGGCAACGGCGCCAAAUUGAUAAUAGAUUUUUCAGUCAAUUAUCCUAAAACACCAAUCAUGUCGUUGUAGUAUUUUAGGUUGUCAAUCCAAAUGGGUGUGAUGCUAACAAUCAAGAUGUGAUCAGAAGUCACUAAGUCAAGCCAAGCAAUAACAGGUUUUGGUGUGUUCUAGCAGUUCUAAAUGAACAUGCAGAAAACAAAAAUUCAAGCAGAAACAAUAAAACACUCGACCAACACAACUUUUGCAGAGCACUAGGUGAGGUCGAGUAACAGACAGAAAGUAUAACACAGUUACUCGACUGCACAGUCUGUUGCCAGACAACUGGGUGGUCGAGUAUGAGGUUGAGUAACAAGAAAGAAUUGCAGAAAUUAAGCAACAGAUGACAAGAUGCAGUAAACAACAGUAGUGUAAACAAAGAACUCAAUAAGAUAAAGAAUUCCCGAGGAUGGGGUAAUUGAGUAGUUUCGUUUCCUCAGUUUACAGGUGAUUGACAUGCUCAAUAAAUUAUCCCUAGACAAUAAAUUCAUUAACCAAAUCUAAGUGCCACCGCAAUAGAGACCCUCAAGUUAACCUAGUCCCAGACUCAAUUACCAUUGACGAGAGCUAACCUAACAGGCAUUACGAAUCAACAAGUUAAAGCCAAAACACUCCCUCCAACCAAUACCUUGGUACAGGGUCACGAAUCUCUGGAAUUAAUGGUUCAGACAUUUCAUCGAACACGUUUUGGGCGCGGAAAUGUCUGGGCUCAAAUUCCAGUUGAUCAGAAAGCAAUAGGCAUUAAGAACAACUAAUCCAGAAGGGAUCUAUCAAUCAAUACUCAACCACCUAGCAUACUGAGAAUUCUACACUACUCUAACCCAUCCUCAGAAACCUAUUCACUACUUAGACAUCAUAGCAGAAAGCAUAAACGUUGAACAGGUUGAAAACAUGAUAACAACAGUGUAACAGCAGGAUGAUAACAGAAUGAACAACAGUAAAAGAAAUCCAAAACAAAUACUGAAUACUGAAUAAAUAAAGAGAAAUUCGGAUUACAAAAGGUCUAGAACACAGUGUCUGCAGAAUAAAACUAGAAAAAAACUUGUUUGCGAAAAUGUGAAGUACAUGCAACUUAUAGCAAAAUAUUCUGAAACCCUAAUACUUAAAACGACGCAGUAUUAGGACGGAUUAAGAACUGUACUCGACCCAGGUGGUCGAGUAGGAGGUCGAGUGAAUAGCUGGAGUCUUCUUUUCUUCCUUGUACUCGAGUGUCUGGUUGAGUGCGGAAUGAAAAAGACUCUGAAGCUCUUAAUCGAGUAUGUAGUCGAGUGGUGGUGAUGGUGAUACUCGAUUUCAAGGUAGAGUGGUGAGAUCGAGUGGUUGUCUGGUAAUGGUGGUGAAGACACUCGACCUCGGGGUCGAGUGAGGUGAUCGAGUGAUGGUCAGGUGAUGGAGAUGAAGACAUUCUACCUCGUGGUCGAGUGGUGAGGUGAAGUGGUGAUGUCCUCUACUCGACCAGGGGGUCGAGUGGUCUGCUGAGGUUGUGAAGCGUCUACUCGACCUGGGGGUCGAGUGGUUUUGCAUGAUCAGGUCCGCUUCUUCCAAUUAGCUCGUCAAUAGCUUCGAAUCACCUUAAAACAACACAAAUAUGCAACAUGCAUGCAAAACUAUCCUAAACAUGUAAAGUGAUGACAAAUGAUGAGAAAUUGUAUAAAACAGUGAUGAUAUGAUGCUAAAGUGAUGACAAAUGGAUGCUCAAAACAUGCAAAAUACACACUAUUCAGUAGCCUCCAUUAAACUGUUGUUUAGGGACAUAACCUUGGUUGUGUUGAACAAAAGGCUUAGACUGAUUAUGUUGUGGUGGAUACACUUGAUCUUGGGGGUUAGCUACAUUAGUGCUUCUGUAGGAGAGGUUUGGGUUGGGCUUGUAGUUGUUGUAGCCCUUGUUGAACCCUCCUUUGUUCUGAAUGUAACACAGCUAGCUCUUCAGUCUGAUCAUUCCCCCUUCUUGCAUUUGGAAGUGCUCUUCAUCAGUGAUGUAGUGUAUCUGCUUCUGCUGAGCCAACAACAACUUGUCUAGCUUUUCAUCCAGAGCCUUGAUAUCUUUGCUCUAUUUAUCCUCAGUUCCUCCAGUUCCUCUCAUUGAGCGAUCAUAGUCUUCAUUGUAGCAUCCAUCAGAUUGUGCUAGAUUUUUGACCAACUAACAUCCUUCUGCUACAUCCUUGUUCAGGAAGUUUCCAUUUGAGGCAGUGUCGAGUAGUAUUCUGAUCUUUGGUAAAGCUCCUCUUUAGACUAUGCUCAAUAAUGAAGCUUUCUUGAAACUAUGAUGGGGACACUGAGUGGUGUAGCUUUUAAUCCUCUCUCAAGCUUCACAGAAAGUUUCAUUGUUUUUCUGUGUGAAGCCUGAGAUCUCGUUCCUCAAUUUAGAUGUGCGAGCAUUAAAGAAGAACUUGGCAAGAAACGCUUUCUUACAAUCAUCCCAGGAGGUGAUGAAGUCUGGGGGCAGAGUCUUCUCCCAGUUGUAUGCCAUGUCUCCCAAAGAGAAGGGAAAUAGUCUGAGCUUAAACAUAUCUUCAGUGACACCAUUGAUCUUGGUAAGGCCAGAGAGCCUAUCAAAGCUAUCAAGAUGGUCUAGGGGAUCUUCCAUAGGUAGACCAUGAAACUUGUUUGCUUGUAUCAUUGAGAUGAGACCACUCUUGAUCUCAAAAUUGUUAUUCUGAACUGGUGGAGGCACUAUCCCUUGUCUUUGGUGAUGAUUCCUUGGGGCAUCACCAGCACCAAUGUUU